UAGAGUUUGAUCAUGGCUCAGAACGAACGCUGGCGGCGUGCCUAACACAUGCAAGUCGUACGAGAAAUCCUGGGCAACUGGGAAAGUAAAGUGGCGCACGGGUGAGUAACGCGUGGGUAACCUACCCUUGGAUUUGGGAUAACUCCGCGAAAGCGGGGUUAAUACCGAAUGAUAUUCCGAUUUCUACGGGGAUUGGAAUCAAAGGUGGCCUCUGCAUGCAAGCUACUGUCUAAGGAUGGGCCCGCGUACCAUUAGCUAGUUGGUAGGGUAAUGGCCUACCAAGGCAACGAUGGUUAGCUGGUCUUAGAGGAUGGCCAGCCACACUGGAACUGAGACACGGUCCAGACUCCUACGGGAGGCAGCAGUGGGGAAUCUUGCGCAAUGGGGGAAACCUUGACGCAGCAACGCCGCGUGGGUGAUGAAGGCCUUCGGGUCGUAAAGCCCUGUCAGGUGGGAGGAAACAUAUCGGUGCUAAUAUCACCGAUGUUAGACGGUACCGCCGGAGGAGCACCGCA
rnacentral:rRNA from 1 species